rnacentral:rRNA from 1 species
UGGGGGAUAUUGCACAAUGGGCGAAAGCCUGAUGCAGCGACGCCGCGUGGGGGAUGAAGGCCUUCGGGUUGUAAACUUCUUUUGCUCUGAACAAGGCAUGCCUUUGGGGUGUGUUGAGUGUAGGGGUUGAUUAGCGCCGGCUAACUACGUGCCAGCAGCCGCGGUAAUACGUAGUGCGCGAGCGUUGUCCGGAAUUAUUGGGCGUAAAGGGCUUGUAGGUGGCUGGUUGCGUCUGUCGUGAAAGCUCAUGGCUUAACUGUGGGUUUGCGGUGGGUACGGGCUGGCUUGAGUGCAGUAGGGGAGGCUGGAAUUCCUGGUGUAGCGGUGGAAUGCGCAGAUAUCAGGAGGAAUACCGGUGGCGAAGGCGGGUCUCUGGGCUGUUACUGACGCUGAGGAGCGAAAGCGUGGGGAGCGAACAGG